CUUUACUUUCUUUUCAAACAAGCGGUCACGACGCAUGCAGAGGGAGGAACUAAACCACAUUUCACUUUCACAGCCUUGGGAAAUAAAGAUCAGAAGUAGGCUAGCUAACUAGCGCAUAUGCCUAAACUAACGCUCAUCAGAUUGUGUUUCUGGCUUUGUCUGGCGCGAACGGUGGUCUCCCGAGAUUAUCUUUCUCUUAAAGUGGGAGAUGAGAUCCUGUUGACACCGGACAAAUCCACAGUGCCUGACCCCACCACAAGCAUCCUAUGGAAGCAUGGGAAGAACAAGGUGGCAGAGUGGGACAAGGAUUUUGGUGGUCUGGACAUCUAUGGUGCCUUCAAAGAGCGUACAACCCUGAACCAGACUACUGGAGAGCUGAGAAUCAGUGGAUUGAAGAAAACAGACAGUGGAGUUUAUUCUGUGGAGUUUAACAGCGAACUGCUUGGCAGGACAUAUAAACUAUCUGUUAUCAAGGCAGUCCCCAAACCCACAAUCACUUCUUCCUGUAACCCAGACAAAACCUCCUGCACUCUGACCUGUGAAGGUGACACCACUGAUGCUGAACCAGUCACCUACAGCUGGAAAGUGGGAGAGGGGGCGUGGGAGGUCUUAGACAAACAGAUUAAUGUCAAUAAGAGCGACACUGGCAAAUCAACCAACAGUUACAAGUACAUCUGCAAAAUGAAUAACCCUGUUAGUGAGGAAGUCAGUGAUCCAAUUGGACAGGUGUUUGGUCCAGAGGCAGUCCCUAAACCCAUAAUCACUUAUACCUGCAUCACAGACACAACCUGCCUUCUGACCUGUGAAGGCGACACCACUGAUGCUGAACCAGUCACCUACAGCUGGAAAGUGGGGGAGGGGGCGUGGGAGGUCAUAGGAAAACAGCUGAUUGUCUCUAAGAGCGACACUGGCAAAUCAACCAACAGUUAUAAGUACAUCUGCAAGCUGAAGAACUCUGCUGGAGAAGGGGAAGUCAGUGAGCCAGUUGGAGAGGUGUUUGGCUCAGAGCCUUCUGAAGUUGGUGGUUGGGUUGUUGGUGUUGUCGUUGCCAUAUUAUUGCUUGUUGCCAUCGUCAUAACAGUUUGGUUGGUGUGGAAGAAAAUAAAAGGAUAUCCCCAAGACACCUGGAUUGACUUUUUGAGAAUGUAUUGUGGUGGAAUGUGUGGGGUUCCGUUAACGGCCAACACAAACAGGGGAAGAUGGCGCAGACAAAGCUGGAAAGGGGCAGGGGAAUAAAGAAGCCACCCUGUUGAUGGAGUAGAAAGACCACCAGUAAAGAAUCUAGUAUUUUAUGAUGCUGGUGGUUUCCUGGUGGGUA